rnacentral:rRNA from 1 species
UACGUAGGGGGCAAGCGUUGUCCGGAAUCAUUGGGCGUAAAGAGCGUGUAGGCGGCCCGGUAAGUCCGCUGUGAAAGUCGGGGGCUCAACCCUCGAAUGCCGGUGGAUACUGUCGGGCUAGAGUGCGGAAGAGGCGAGUGGAAUUCCUGGUGUAGCGGUGAAAUGCGCAGAUAUCAGGAGGAACACCGAUUGCGAAGGCAGCUCGCUGGGACGUAACUGACGCUGAGACGCGAAAGCGUGGGGAGCAAACGGG